GUUUCCCGCAAAGCCCUCAUAAAUUUGCUACGUUUUUGCGGGGAAUCAUGACUUACACACAGUUUUCUCGCAAUUGUCUAGCAAACGUGCGAGGGAAAUAUUCGUCGCAAAAUUUGCGACGGAAUAGCGUGUUGGUCAUGUUCCCUCGGAGAGAUCUAUUCAUCGGCGAAGAAGAGGUUUGUCGGAGAGAUCUAUUCGUCGGCGAAGAAGAGGUUUGUCGGAGAGAUCUAUUCGUCGGCACAUUUGAGGUUUGCGGAGAGAACAAUUCUUCGUCGAAUUUGAGUUUUAUCAGAGAGAAUAAUUCCUCGGCGAAUUUGAAUAGGUUUGUCAAAAUGAAAGUGAAACCCUAAUUAUUCAGUGAGGAUAAGACCGUUAUUUUCCACAUUAGAAGGGACAGUUUUAAAAAUGGCCAUCAGAAAAUGGCAUUGUUGCAAAAGGUUAUUAGAAAAAGGGCACCUUUGCAAAUCUCCCUUUUGAUUGUUAUAUCUAAGAUUUCACUUGUAUAAUAUCAUCCCGUAUUAAUAUCGACCCAAAUCAUUCUGACCAUAUAACCCCGUCCUAUAAAAUUAAACAUCAGUUUGUCUUAGUUUUAUAU
rnacentral:sRNA from 1 species